AGCUCACUGGUCGAGUCGGCCUGCGCGGAAGAUGUAACGGGGCUAAACCAUGCACCGAAGCUGCGGCAGCGACACUGUGUGUUGUUGGGUAGGGGAGCGUUCUGUAAGCCUGCGAAGGUGGCCUGUGAGGGUUGCUGGAGGUAUCAGAAGUGCGAAUGCUGACAUAAGUAACGAUAAAGCGGGUGAAAAGCCCGCUCGCCGGAAGACCAAGGGUUCCUGUCCAACGUUAAUCGGGGCAGGGUGAGUCGACCCCUAAGGCGAGGCCGAAAGGCGUAGUCGAUGGGAAACGGGUUAAUAUUCCCGUACUUGGUGUUACUGCGAAGGGGGGACGGAGAAGGCUAUGUUGGCCGGGCGACGGUUGUCCCGGUUUAAGCGUGUAGGUGUGUGUUCCAGGUAAAUCCGGUUCACUUUAACACUGAGGCGUGACGACGAGGCACUACGGUGCUGAAGCAACAAAUGCCCUGCUUCCAGGAAAAGCCUCUAAGCAUCAGGUAACAUCAAAUCGUACCCCAAACCGACACAGGUGGUCAGGUAGAGAAUACCAAGGCGCUUGAGAGAACUCGGGUGAAGGAACUAGGCAAAAUGGUGCCGUAACUUCGGGAGAAGGCACGCUGACACGUAGGUGAAGUGAUUUACUCAUGGAGCUGAAGUCAGUCGAAGAUACCAGCUGGCUGCAACUGUUUAUUAAAAACACAGCACUGUGCAAACACGAAAGUGGACGUAUACGGUGUGACGCCUGCCCGGUGCCGGAAGGUUAAUUGAUGGGGUCAGCGCAAGCGAAGCUCCUGAUCGAAGCCCCGGUAAACGGCGGCCGUAACUAUAACGGUCCUAAGGUAGCGAAAUUCCUUGUCGGGUAAGUUCCGACCUGCACGAAUGGCGUAAUGAUGGCCAGGCUGUCUCCACCCGAGACUCAGUGAAAUUGAACUCGCUGUGAAGAUGCAGUGUACCCGCGGCAAGACGGAAAGACCCCGUGAACCUUUACUAUAGCUUGACACUGAACAUUGAGCCUUGAUGUGUAGGAUAGGUGGGAGGCUUUGAAGUGUGGACGCCAGUCUGCAUGGAGCCGACCUUGAAAUACCACCCUUUAAUGUUUGAUGUUCUAACGUGGACCCGUUACCCGGGUUGCGGACAGUGUCUGGUGGGUAGUUUGACUGGGGCGGUCUCCUCCUAAAGAGUAACGGAGGAGCACGAAGGUUGGCUAAUCCUGGUCGGACAUCAGGAGGUUAGUGCAAUGGCAUAAGCCAGCUUGACUGCGAGCGUGACGGCGCGAGCAGGUGCGAAAGCAGGUCAUAGUGAUCCGGUGGUUCUGAAUGGAAGGGCCAUCGCUCAACGGAUAAAAGGUACUCCGGGGAUAACAGGCUGAUACCGCCCAAGAGUUCAUAUCGACGGCGGUGUUUGGCACCUCGAUGUCGGCUCAUCACAUCCUGGGGCUGAAGUAGGUCCCAAGGGUAUGGCUGUUCGCCAUUUAAAGUGGUACGCGAGCUGGGUUUAGAACGUCGUGAGACAGUUCGGUCCCUAUCUGCCGUGGGCGCUGGAGAACUGAGGGGGGCUGCUCCUAGUACGAGAGGACCGGAGUGGACGCAUCACUGGUGUUCGGGUUGUCAUGCCAAUGGCACUG
rnacentral:rRNA from 1 species